rnacentral:misc_RNA from 1 species
UAUUUCAAGAAGCAUAUUGUCCAGCUUCUGCAGAGCCGGGAGAUUGAUAAAAAGAUCUGACCUUGGCCUGCAAGUCAUGACCUACAAAAUGCAGAAAUUAUUUUGGGAAAAAGAAAGGACAGGAAAAAUAAGAAUGAUUUCUGAUAACCAAAUUCCUCUGAUUUUGACUAAAUUUUUAGUCUGCUCAUAAGUGCUUUUUUCGUUUUUUUUUGGGGUAGUGUGGGGGUGGGGGGGUGUUUUGGGGGCGUUGCACAAAUUGUCUGCUCAUACUAAUAAAGAGAGAAAUUUAUCAAAUACAACAACACUUAUUACCAGCUUGAGCUUUCUUCACGUGGUAACUGUUUAUGAUGAUAAAGAAAGGCUACGAUUGGGACUAACAUCUUAAAGUAAAAUUCAAAAGCAGGAAACAAAUAACUUCAAAAAUUAGUUGUCUCAAUGACCUGAUUGUUUGAUGAAGCAUAUUUUACUGGCAUGUUAUGUUGUUCAGCUUAAGAAUAGUUGAGAUUCUUAAGAAGAUCAAACCCAACCCAACUACAUCCAUAUUCUAGAGCCAACUCAGUUCCCAAACAGGGAAAAUUCUAGGAUACAAAUUUUUUAAUCCUAAUAUUUUUCCUUGAUCCUCUUAUCAAAAAAAAGGGGUCCUGUAGAGAUUAAACAAAUUAUGUGUAUAAUUCUGAAUUAUAUUGGUACUAGAGUCUAGAAUUAGACUCACCUCUAGCUUACUGCCAUCAGGAAAUGUUUGCCAAGAG